rnacentral:piRNA from 1 species
GCCUCCUUCAGCGCGUGGUGCAUGUGCAGC